rnacentral:rRNA from 1 species
AGCGCAUGCCUACCGGGAGGGCAGCAGUGGGGGAUAUUGCACAAUGGGGGAAACCCUGAUGCAGCGACGCCGCGUGGGUGAAGAAGUAUUUCGGUAUGUAAAGCCAUAUCAGCAGGGAAGAAAGAAGACGGUACCUGACUAAGAAGCCCCGGCUAACUACGUGCC